rnacentral:rRNA from 1 species
UGGGGAAUAUUAGUCAAUGGGGGAAACCCUGAACUAGCAACGCCGCGUGAAGGAUGAAGGCUUUCGGGUUGUAAACUUCUUUUAUCUGGGAAGAAAAAAAUGACGGUACCAGAUGAAUAAGCCACGGCUAACUACGUGCCAGCAGCCGCGGUAAUACGUAGGUGGCGAGCGUUGUCCGGAAUUACUGGGUGUAAAGGGCGCGUAGGCGGGACUAUAAGUCUGAUGUGAAAUAUCCGGGCUCAACCCGGGGGGUGCAUUGGAUACUGUGGUUCUUGAGUGAUGGAGAGGCAGGCGGAAUUCCCGGUGUAGCGGUGGAAUGCGUAGAUAUCGGGAGGAACACCAGUGGCGAAGGCGGCCUGCUGGACAUUAACUGACGCUGAGGCGCGAAAGCGUGGGGAGCAAACA